rnacentral:rRNA from 1 species
UACAGAGGGUGCAAGCGUUAAUCGGAAUUACUGGGCGUAAAGCGUGCGCAGACGGUUGCGUAAGUCAGAUGUGAAAGCCCCGGGCUCAACCUGGGAAUUGCAAUGGAUACUGGCAAGCUAGAGUGUGUCAGAGGAUGGUGGAAUUCCCGGUGUAGCGGUGAAAUGCGUAGAGAUCGGGAGGAACAUCAGUGGCGAAGGCGGCCAUCUGGGACAACACUGACGCUGAGGCACGAAAGCGUGGGGAGCAAACAGG